rnacentral:tRNA from 1 species
GCCUGUCUGGCUCAGUUAGCAGAGCUUGUGACUCUUGAUCUCAGAAUUGUGAGUUUGAACCCCAUGUUGGGUG